rnacentral:rRNA from 1 species
GACGAACGCUGGCGGCGCGCUUCACACAUGCAAGUCGAACGAGAAGCCCGGGCUUGCCCGGGUGGACAGUGGCGAACGGGUGAGUAACACGUGAGCAACCUGCCCCGAAGACCGGGAUAACACCGGGAAACCGGUGCUAAUACCGGAUGUCUUCGCCGGACCGCAUGAUCCGGCGAGGAAAUGGUCUGCCGCUUCGGGAUGGGCUCGCGGCCUAUCAGCUUGUUGGUGGGGGAACGGCCCACCCAGGCGACGACGGGUAGCUGGUCUGAGAGGAUGUCCAGCCACACUGGGACUGAGACACGGCCCAGACUCCUACGGGAGGCAGCAGUGGGGAAUCUUGCGCAAUGGGCGAAAGCCUGACGCAGCGACGCCGCGUGCGGGAUGAAGGCCUUCGGGUGGUAAACCGCUUUCAGCAGGGACGAAAUUGACGGUACCUGUAGAAGAAGCCCCGGCCAACUACGUGCCAGCCGCCGCAGUAAAAC